rnacentral:hammerhead_ribozyme from 1 species
AUCUAGCUGACGAGUAUCAAGUAGGACGGAACGCGCGUCAAACUAGAU